rnacentral:rRNA from 1 species
UACGGAGGGUGCAAGCGUUACCCGGAAUCACUGGGCGUAAAGGGCGUGUAGGCGGCCAUGUAAGUCUGGUUUAAAGACCGGGGCUCAACCUCGGGGGAUGGACUGGAUACUGCAAGGCUAGACCUCUGGAGAGAGAACUGGAAUUCCUGGUGUAGCGGUGGAAUGCGUAGAUACCAGGAGGAACACCAAUGGCGAAGGCAGGUACUUGGACAGAAGGUGACGCUGAGGCGCGAAAGCAUGGGGAUCAAACAGGAUUAGAAACCCUGGGU